UACGUAGGUGGCAAGCGUUGUCCGGAUUUACUGGGCGUAAAGGGCGUGCAGGCGGUUUGUUAAGUGCAGGGUGAAAGCUCCCGGCUCAACUGGGAGAGGUCCUUGCAUACUGGCGAACUCGAGGGAGGCAGAGGAAAGUGGAAUUCCCGGUGUAGUGGUGAUAUGCGUAGAUAUCGGGAGGAACACCUGUGGCGAAGGCGGCCUGCUGGGCCGAUCCUGACGCUGAGGCGCGAAGGCGUGGGGAGCGAACGGG
rnacentral:rRNA from 1 species